GGCGAGGCCUGCGGAGCGGGAAUGAGAUAAGUUACUGCUUUUCUAGACUUCCUAGCAUGGGCUGUUGUGCUGGAGAGAACGAGAGCUACGAAGAGACUACAGUGCCUCUGACUUUUUCAUAGGACAGUUGGCCGAGGAAGACAAACAUAAAGAUGAAGUGCUUAAUUCAAGGUCACACAAUGUCGGGGAUGGACCUCCAGAUUUCCUUACUGACCUGCAUUAUCUUGUGGAUACCUGAGUGAAUUCCACACCACCCAUUUUAUAGAUGAAACCACUGAGACAUGGAGCAAUUGACUGAGUAGUCACUGCCCCACCCCUGCCUGGAGCCUCACACAUGACUCGCCUCCUCUCAGUGACCACAGGUUGGUUGAGGGGUUUAACAAGGCUAAGAAGGUGAGACGUGGUCUUGUAACACAGUGGUUAAGAAUGUGACUUUGGAGCCAGCCUGCUAGGGGCUGAAUUCUGACUCAGCCAUUUACUAACUGUGUGACCUUAGGCUGGAGUGCAAUGGCAUGAUCUCGGCUCAUCACAACCUCUGCUUCCUGGGUUCAAGCGAUUCUCCUGCCUCAGCCUCCCGAGUACCUGGGACUACAGGCACUCGCCACCAUGCCCGGCUGAUUUUUGUAUUUUUAAUAGAGAUGGUUUCACUAUGUUGGCCAGGCUGGUCUCGAACUCCUGACCUUGUGAUCUGCCCACCUCAGCCUCGAAAAGUGCUGGGAUUACAGGCGUGAGCCACUGCGCCCAGCCUUGUAUUUUUUUUCAGUUUGGGUAGCUGUCCCUAAUUCAUUUGUUAAAGGAGAAGCAAGAGCAAGAACCUUUAAUCUGUUCUCCUCUUCCCUAAUUUGAAAGUAGCUUGUUAUUUUGAAUAUCACUUUCUCUGAAAUAGCACAUCUCCAUCUCAGAGAAUGGAUUUAAUGUUUGGAUACAGCCAAAAGUCAUUUCAUUACCAAACCAUGGGGUGAAUAUACCAUGUAAAGCAGUUUGGGAUCAGAACUCACAGUCUGAAUUGUAAGUGAUGAGACUGCUGUCUCUCUGCUACAGCUUCUUGGCUGGCUCUGAAGGCUCUUUGAAGGCAGAUCCUAACAAGGGGACUGCUUUGAAGGGCCAUUGUUCAUUUGGAAUGAUAAAGUCUAUGUUGUUCAAAAAACAAAUGCUUGUAGCAGGUAUUUUUUCACUCCAGACUGAGAAUAUUGGUGGGAUAUUGAUAAGGGGUACUGAAUGGUAAUAAACAUGUGCUCUAGCUCUGUGCUAGUCAGCUUAUUUCAGAA
rnacentral:lncRNA from 1 species